rnacentral:rRNA from 1 species
UGGGGAAUAUUGCACAAUGGGCGCAAGCCUGAUGCAGCCAUGCCGCGUGUAUGAAGAAGGCCUUCGGGUUGUAAAGUACUUUCAGCGGGGAGGAAGGUGUUGAGGCUAAUAACCUCAGCAAUUGACGUUACCCGCAGAAGAAGCACCGGCUAACUCCGUGCCAGCAGCCGCGGUAAUACGGAGGGUGCAAGCGUUAAUCGGAAUUACUGGGCGUAAAGCGCACGCAGGCGGUCUGUCAAGUCGGAUGUGAAAUCCCCGGGCUCAGCCUGGGAACUGCAUUCGAAACUGGCAGGCUAGAGUCUUGUAGAGGGGGGUAGAAUUCCAGGUGUAGCGGUGAAAUGCGUAGAGAUCUGGAGGAAUACCGGUGGCGAAGGCGGCCCCCUGGACAAAGACUGACGCUCAGGUGCGAAAGCGUGGGGAGCAAACA